CGGGGUGGAGUAAUGUCUGGGAAACUGCCUGAUGGAGGGGGAUAACUACUGGAAACGGUAGCUAAUACCGCAUAACGUCGCAAGACCAAAGAGGGGGACCUUCGGGCCUCUUGCCAUCGGAUGUGCCCAGAUGGGAUUAGCUAGCAGGUGGGGUAACGGCUCACCUAGGCGACGAUCCCUAGCUGGUCUGAGAGGAUGACCAGCCACACUGGAACUGAGACACGGUCCAG
rnacentral:rRNA from 1 species